rnacentral:rRNA from 1 species
GAGUUUGAUCCUGGCUCAGAACGAACGCUGGCGGCGUGCCUAACACAUGCAAGUCGAACGUGAUCCAGAGCUUGCUCUGGUGAAAGUGGCGCACGGGUGAGUAACGCGUGGAUAACCUACCCUGGUAUCCGGGAUAACAUUCCGAAAGGGGUGCUAAUACCGGAUAAGCCCACGGGCUCUUUGGAGCUUGCGGGAAAAGGUGGCCUCUAUUUAUAAGCUACUGUAUCAGGAUGGGUCCGCGUACCAUUAGCUAGUUGGUGGUGUAACGGACCACCAAGGCGACGAUGGUUAGCUGGUCUGAGAGGAUGAUCAGCCACACUGGAACUGAGGCACGGUCCAGACUCCUACGGGAGGCAGCAGUGGGGAAUUUUGCGCAAUGGGGGAAACCCUGACGCAGCAACGCCGCGUGAGUGAUGAAGGCCUUUGGGUCGUAAAGCUCUGUCAGAGGGGAAGAAAUGAUAUAGUGCUAAUACCACUUUAUCUUGACGGUACCCUCAAAGGAAGCACCGGCUAACUCCGUGCCAGCAGCCGCGGUAAUAC